GCGGCCACCGGGCGUUGCUGGUAAGCUGCUCCUUCGCGUGGCCGCCGGCCGGGCCUCUCCUAGACGGUGGGACCGCAAGCGGUAGCUACUUGGUCCGUUCUCUUUUCACUGGAAUGUACCCUGGACGAAUUAGGAUUCCGCCUGGUUUCCCGCUGCUACAUCCCUCCCCGUCUUUGAAGGUGGAAAGGAGAGAAGGAAGGAAAGUACGCCGGACUCAGAGGACACCCAAACCCCAGGCCCCACCGCUCCAGUCCAGUCUGGCGCUGAGUCCUGGAAACAGGGUCCAAGCGAAACAAAGUCCCUGUUCAUGUGGAAUUUACAUUUAGGAGGGAAUGUGAGGCACA